rnacentral:lncRNA from 1 species
GACUACUUCUUUUGUAAUAGUUCUCACGCCCAGUUGUGGAUCUUUUGCAGAGCCUUCAGUUGUGGCUGCUGCUACUGCUGAUAGUGAUGGUGGCAAGGGCAUUGCGAGUUAGAGCCCUUCCAGACGAGUCAGAGCUAGAGGAGUACCAGCUAUAGGUAGUUGUAGUUUUUCGGUUUUAUACAUACUGUUGUUGUAUCUCGCUGCAGCGAGUGUUUUUGUACUCCUGGAU